GGGACAGAGGAAGAGGACUAUGAUGCACUUUCAAGGAGGAACCUCACAUUUCCACUAUAGAGCCUAUAUUUUCUCCAGUCCUGGAACCUUAGGGUGGGGCCCAUUUUCCUGCAUACUUCUCUCAAUUCAUACUAAAUAAUAUUGAAUCUGCCGAUCCCAACCUAAUCAAUGCAACAAGUGCCACCCCAGCAUGCUAUACUUCAAACUGUGUCCAGAGACUUCAGGUGUGGAAUGGCAACCCUUCAGCCUCAUUACUCAGCCACCAGGUUCCAGAUGCCAGCAUAAUGCUGACCAGACUUCCCUGGACGGAAGAACCCACCAAUGUGUACUAGAACUCUGCUUCCCCUGAGACCCACCCUACUAGGGAAAGA